rfam:Roseovarius mucosus DSM 17069 Contig77-2, whole genome shotgun sequence.
AAUCAAGCGCGAGAAGGGCGUUUGGUGGAUGCCUUGGCAGUAAGAGGCGAUGAAGGACGUGAUACUCUGCGAUAAGCCAUGAGGAGCUGAGAAUAAGCUGUGAUCCAUGGAUUUCCGAAUGGGGCAACCCACCUGACAGUUUGUUAUAAUUGCCUUUUGGCAGUUUAUAACGGGCUGAAACAGGUACUUUUUGACUGAAUACAUAGGUCUUAAAGAGCAAACCCGGAGAACUGAAACAUCUAAGUACCCGGAGGAAAGGACAGCAAUAGCGACUCCCCUAGUAGCGGCGAGCGAACGGGGACCAGCCGAGCCCAAUAAGUGACCAGAAUGCGUUGGGAAGCGCAGCCAGAGCGGGUGACAGCCCCGUAUGGGAAGCUUUGAGGGACGUAUCAAGUAGGGCGGAACACGUGAAAUUCUGUCUGAAGAUCGGAGGACCACCUUCGAAGGCUAAGUACUCCUUACUGACCGAUAGCGAACCAGUACCGUGAGGGAAAGGUGAAAAGCACCCCGACGAGGGGAGUGAAACAGUACCUGAAACCGAACGCCUACAAUCAGUCGGAGGGGCAUAAGCCCUGACGGCGUACCUUUUGUAUAAUGGGUCAUCGACUUGGUCUAUCUAGCAAGCUUAAGCCGUUAGGUGUAGGCGCAGCGAAAGCGAGUCUUAAUAGGGCGUUGAGUUAGAUGGAUCAGACCCGAAACCGAGUGAUCUAGGCAUGACCAGGAUGAAGGUUGGGUAACACCAACUGGAGGUCCGAACCCACACCUGUUGAAAAAGGUCGGGAUGAGUUGUGCCUAGGGGUGAAAGGCCAAUCAAACUCGGAGAUAGCUGGUUCUCUGCGAAAUCUAUUUAGGUAGAGCGUCAUCCGAAUACCCUCGGGGGUAGAGCACUGGAUGGGUAAUGGGGCCCCACAGGCUUACUGAUCCUAACCAAACUCCGAAUACCGAGGAGUACUAGAUGGCAGACAGACGGCGGAUGCUAACGUCCGUCGUCGAGAGGGAAACAACCCUGACCUCCGGCUAAGGCCCCCAAUUCAUGGCUAAGUGGGAAAGCAGGUGGGACGACCAAAACAACCAGGAGGUUGGCUUAGAAGCAGCCAUCCUUUAAAGAUAGCGUAACAGCUCACUGGUCUAAAUAAGUUGUCCUGCGGCGAAGAUGUAACGGGGCUCAAGCCAUGAGCCGAAGCCGAGGAUGCCGUAAGGCAUGGUAGCAGAGCGUAGUGUGACAUGGUUUCUAUCCUCUUUAGUGUCCUUCGGGGCACCAUGGAGGAGAAGAAAUCUUCGAUGAAGCGGGCCUGUGAGGGAUCCCGUGGAGAGAUCACUAGUGAGAAUGAUGACAUGAGUAGCGACAAAGAGUGUGAGAGACACUCUCGCCGAAAGUCCAAGGGUUCCUGCUUAAAGCUAAUCUGAGCAGGGUAAGCCGACCCCUAAGGCGAGGCCGAAAGGCGUAGUCGAUGGGAACCAGGUUAAUAUUCCUGGGCCAGAUGGAAGUGACGGAUCUCAAAGGUUGUUCGUUCUUAUCGGAUUGAACGGGCCGCUGAGAGGUUCCUGGAAAUAGCUCCAUCGCUAGAUCGUACCCGAAACCGACACAGGUGGACUGGUAGAGAAUACCAAGGCGCUUGAGAGAACUACGUUGAAGGAACUCGGCAAAAUACCUCCGUAAGUUCGCGAGAAGGAGGCCCGGUUCCUAGGCAACUAGGGGCUGGGGGCACAAACCAGGGGGUGGCGACUGUUUACUAAAAACACAGGGCUCUGCGAAGUCGCAAGACGACGUAUAGGGUCUGACGCCUGCCCGGUGCCUGAAGGUUAAAAGGAGGGGUGAGAGCUCUGAAUUGAAGCCCAGGUAAACGGCGGCCGUAACUAUAACGGUCCUAAGGUAGCGAAAUUCCUUGUCGGGUAAGUUCCGACCUGCACGAAUGGCGUAACGACUUCCCCGCUGUCUCCAACGUAGACUCAGCGAAAUUGAAUUGCCUGUCAAGAUGCAGGCUUCCCGCGGUUAGACGGAAAGACCCCGUGCACCUUUACUAUAGCUUCGCACUGGCAUCAGGAUUGUGAUGUGCAGGAUAGGUGGUAGGCUUUGAAGCAGGGACGCUAGUCCCCGUGGAGCCUCCCUUGAGAUACCACCCUUCGCACUCUUGAUGUCUAACCGCGGCCCGUUAUCCGGGUCCGGGACCCUGCGUGGUGGGUAGUUUGACUGGGGCGGUCGCCUCCUAAAGCGUAACGGAGGCGCGCGAAGGUUGGCUCAGAGCGGUCGGAAAUCGCUCGUUGAGUGCAAUGGCAGAAGCCAGCCUGACUGCGAGACUGACAAGUCGAGCAGAGUCGAAAGACGGCCAUAGUGAUCCGGUGGUCCCAAGUGGGAGGGCCAUCGCUCAACGGAUAAAAGGUACGCCGGGGAUAACAGGCUGAUACUGCCCAAGAGUCCAUAUCGACGGCAGUGUUUGGCACCUCGAUGUCGGCUCAUCUCAUCCUGGGGCUGGAGCAGGUCCCAAGGGUACGGCUGUUCGCCGUUUAAAGAGGUACGUGAGCUGGGUUUAGAACGUCGUGAGACAGUUCGGUCCCUAUCUGCCGUGGGUGUAGGAUACUUGAGAGGAGUUGCCCCUAGUACGAGAGGACCGGGGUGAACGAACCACUGGUGGACCUGUUGUGGCGCCAGCCGCAGUGCAGGGUAGCUAUGUUCGGACAGGAUAACCGCUGAAGGCAUCUAAGCGGGAAGCCCCCCUCAAAACAAGGUAUCCCUGAGGGCCGUGGUAGACCACCACGUCGAUAGGCCGGAGAUGUAAGCGCAGCAAUGCGUUCAGUUGACCGGUACUAAUGGCCCGAUAGGCUUGAUUUG